rnacentral:lncRNA from 1 species
AUAAAGUUCAAGUAAUGCUCUACCAUUGAAACUACAUUUUGACCAUUUCUUCCAUUCCAACCCUUAAUCAUUUUCAUUACAACUUUAUACCCUUUGCAUUCAGAAUGACAGGAGACACCUCACAAUGUGUUAUUCGUGCUAAACUUCCUUUAUUUAUUUAUUUAUUUAUUUUCAUCUUCCAAACCUUCUUUUUAGAAGAAAUACUCUUAGGAAACUAUUUUGUAAAUUUCAACUUCUGUUAUUAUCACUUGCAAUACUAAAUAGUCUUCCACUCACCGCGUCACUCCACCCCCCAAACUUUGUUGCAUGUUUUAAGUACAAAUAUUAAAAGUCAUGUUCUUUUAUAUGAAAAUUCUAGCUUUCUGGAAUGGAAUCUAGCUUUGAUUCAAGUUUCUUUUUUCUGUUUAUGUCAGCUUUGUAGACUUGCAAAAUGCCAACUAUAUAUGAUAGUGAUGAAUGCUGUUUAAAUUUCGACUGAUUGUGGUGUAUGAAUUUAUGCCAAUUAUAAUUGUUAGCUGCAACGCCUAAUGUAAUUUAAGGAAUACUCAAUUGUUGAAAUUUUUU